CCAACAUAAACAUUUCAAAAACAUUCUCUCUCUCCCUCUUGAACACUCACGGCCGAACACCCCCUAUUACAUUCCCAUUUUCAUUUUCAAACUCAAAUCUUGAAGAAUCAUGUCCAUUCCAAAGUGAUUUCAAGCUUACAUGAAGGUUUAGAAGUGAUUUCAAGGAGGUUUGAGCAAGAACAAGGCUUCACAUCAUCAUAAAUCAUAAAACCCACUAGAAAUCUUGAAGGACAUGAUGUUGGUACUUGAGUUCGGCUUCGGGAAUCAUGGUGUAUCUUGUGUUUGAUGAUGCAUGUUGUGUUACUUAAAAAUGUUGGACUAACUUUUUAAACUCUCUGGGACGAAUGUAAUAAGAUCCGCGAGGAUCAAAGACAACUUAACUUAUGUGG
rnacentral:lncRNA from 1 species